rnacentral:rRNA from 1 species
CCUACGGGUGGCAGCAGUAGGGAAUCUUUCACAAUGGGGGAAACCCUGAUGCAGCAACGCCGCGUGCAGGAUGAAGUCAUUCGUUAUGUAAAGCGCUAUCAUCAGGGAAGAAAAUGACGGUACCUUAGGAAUAAGCACCGGCUAACUACGUGCCAGCAGCCGCGGUAAUACGUAGGGGGCAAGCUUUAUCCGGAUUUACUGGGUGUAAAGGGAGGGUAGAUGGAAAUGCAAGUCCGCUGGGAAACGCGGGGGGUAAACCCUCGGAAUGAGCUGGAAACUGUUAGGCUCGAGAGCGGGAGAGGUAAGUGGAAUUUCUAGUGUAGCAGUGAAAUCCGUAGAUAUUAGGAGGAACACCAGUGGCGAAGGCAGGUUACUGGAACGUAUCUGACGUUGAGGCUCGAAAGCGUGGGGAGCAAACGGGAUUAGAUACCCUAGUAGUC